rnacentral:rRNA from 1 species
AAAAAAAACUUCGUAGUGAGUGUUAGAUCCGCCCGUACCCCAAACCGACACAGGUGAUCAGGUAGAGAAUACCAAGGCGAUCGAGUGAACCAUGGUUAAGGAACUCGGCAAAAUGCCCCCGUAACUUCGGGAGAAGGGGGGCCGGAUGCGUUACAUGGCUUGCCCAUGGAAGCGUUGAUGGCCGCAGAGACCAGGCCCAAGCGACUGUUUACUAAAAACACAGGUCCGUGCGAAGAAGUAAUUCGAUGUAUACGGACUGACGCCUGCCCGGUGCUGGAACGUUAAGGGGACAGGUUAGCUGGUUUAGGCCGGCGAAGCUUUGAACUUAAGCGCCAGUAAACGGCGGUGGUAACUAUAACCAUCCUAAGGUAGCGAAAUUCCUUGUCGGGUAAGUUCCGACCUGCACGAAUGGCGUAACGACUUGGGCGCUGUCUCAACCAUGGACUCGGCGAAAUUGCAUUACGAGUAAAGAUGCUCGUUACGCGCAGCAGGACGGAAAGACCCCGGGACCUUUACUACAACUUGGUAUUGGUGGUCGGUACAACUUGUGUAGGAUAGGUGGGAGACUGUGAAAUCCGGACGCCAGUUCGGGUGGAGUCAUCGUUGAAAUACCACUCUGGUUGUUCUGGCUGUCUAACUUCGGUCCAUUAUCUGGAUCAGGGACAGUGCCUGGUGGGUAGUUUGACUGGGGCGGUCGCCUCCUAAAAGGUAACGGAGGCGCUCAAAGGUUCCCUCAGCCUGGUUGGCAAUCAGGUGUCGAGUGUAAGUGCACAAGGGAGCUUGACUGUGAGACAGACAUGUCGAGCAGGGACGAAAGUCGGAACUAGUGAUCCGGCGGUGGCAUGUGGGAGCACCGUCGCUCAACGGAUAAAAGGUACCCCGGGGAUAACAGGCUGAUCUUCCCCAAGAGUCCAUAUCGACGGGAUGGUUUGGCACCUCGAUGUCGGCUCGUCGCAUCCUGGGGCUGGAGUAGGUCCCAAGGGUUGGGCUGUUCGCCCAUUAAAGCGGCACGCGAGCUGGGUUUAGAACGUCGUGAGACAGUUCGGUCCCUAUCCGCUGCGCGCGCAGGAGACUUGAGAAGGGCUGCCCCUAGUACGAGAGGACCGGGGUGGACGAACCUCUGGUGUGCCAGUUGUUCCGCCAGGAGCACGGCUGGUUGGCUACGUUCGGGAGUGAUAACCGCUGAAAGCAUCUAAGCGGGAAGCACGCUUCAAGAUGAGGUCUCCCACCGAGUUAAUCGGGUAAGGCCCCCAGUAGACCACUGGGUUGAUAGGCCAGAGGUGGAAGCGCCGUAAGGUGUGGAGCUGACUGGUACUAAUAGGCCGAGGGCUUGUCUCA